rnacentral:misc_RNA from 1 species
GAAAUGCGAUAAGUAAUGGGAAUUGCAGAAUUCAGUGAAUCAUCGAAUCUUUGAACGCACCUUGCGCUCCUUGGAAUUCCUUGGAGCAUGCCUGUUUGAGUAUCAUGAAAUCUUCAAAGUAAAUCUUUUGUUAACUCAAUUGGUUUCUACUUUGGUAUUGGAGGUCUUUGCAGCUUCACACCUGCUCCUCUUUGUUCAUUAGCUGGAUCUCAGUGUUAUGCUUGGUUCCACUCGGCGUGAUAAGUUAUCUAUCGCUGAGGACACUGUAAAAGGUGGCCAAGGUAAAUGCAGAUGAACCGCUUCUAAUAGUCCAUUGACUUGGACAAUACUUUUAUGAUCUGAUCUCAAAUCAGGUAGGACUACCCGCUGAACUUAAGC